GGACCCGCACAAGUAGUGGAGCAUGUGGUUUAAUUCGAAGAUACGCGCAGAACCUUACCAACACUUGACAUGUUCGUCGCGACUUUAAGAGAUUAAAGUUUUCGGUUCGGCCGGACGAAACACAGGUGCUGCAUGGCUGUCGUCAGCUCGUGUCGUGAGAUGUUGGGUUAAGUCCCGCAACGAGCGCAACCCUCACUUUUAGUUGCCAUCAUUAAGUUGGGCACUCUGAAAGAACUGCCAGUGAUAAGCUGGAGGAAGGUGGGGAUGACGUCAAGUCCUCAUGGCCCUUACGUGUUGGGCUACACACGUGCUACAAUGAUAUUUACAACAGGAAGCAAAACGGCGACGUUAAGCAAAUCCUCAAAAAAUAUCUCAGUUCGGAUUGCACUCUGCAACUCGAGUGCAUGAAGCUGGAAUUACUAGUAAUCG
rnacentral:rRNA from 1 species